CAAACCAACAAGUUCCCAACAGUUUUCUUGAUGCAAUGUUAGUACUUUCAUGCGCUGGGAUAGGAAUCCUUCUCCUCUAUUGGGUCUUCAAAGUAUAUAAACAGCGCACUAAAGGAACCAAAAACAAGCUUGAAACAAAUCUCAUAUUGUGACUAUGCUCUUAUAGCCUGAACAUCAAGUCAAAAACAGUUCACGCUCAAGAGUCAUCUGAGAAGCCACCUGAUUCUCAAGAGUGCCAGCAUUUGGAAGAUGCGCAUUCUGAUGGCGUUGAGAAAAUGGUUCCAAUGCAGAAGAAGCCUUCGAAUGGCAGCCAGCUAAUGACGACACCUAGUAGGAAAUGUCCACCCUCUACACUUCCCAAACAAAGAAAGUCAGCAUUAACUCCAACACUAUUUUGUACGAUGAGGUUGGUUUAGCGAAAACCAAAGGCAAUGUUUCGGAUAUGACAGAAGUUGAGUUGAAAGCUAAUGAGUCUUUCGGGCACACAGCAGGGGCGUAGGCAGGAAUUUGAGGAAGGGGGGGCUGAACUGAAAGGGUGCGAAGCACCCGGUUUCUGGUGCUUUGCGCAGAGCGCUGAAAAUUUUCGGUUACCGGAAACCACACCUCCUAAUUAAUGACUCAUUUCCGGGAAUAGUUGUUGUACCAGGCGUGUCUGGUUGUACUUAACUUGUAAUGAUUUAUGAUGUUACAAUUUUGUUGUCAAUAUAUGCUAAUAUUUACAGUGCUAACUACAUGUACAAUGUAUAUGAUAAUGUAGCUGAUCAGUUACUUUGCUGGCUCUUCAUCAGUACUCAGGCUGGCAGUACUAGAGCUUGGCAAACUGGCACUAGAGUUUGGCAAGUGGCACUAGAUCUUGGCCUUGACUCACGCUUGAGAAAUAAUGUUUCUGCGACAUAGUUGCUGCUCUCAAUCAACCUCUGUGGUAGAUUAUUGAUCAGUUGCAUUGCACAUGUGCAAGAAAUAGUUUAUAGCCACACCUGCUUCAAUUAAUUAAAUGGUGCAUGCUAGUAAUUAGGAGUACUCCUAUUUGCUCACGUAUUGUAAACUCAGUCAGAAUUAGAUAUUCACGUAAAUCAAUGUGAAGAGUUAUCGUAAUCGAUUAAUCUGCCAUUGGUUGUUGACUCGGGAGUAUCACAGAGCAUCAAAUCUUCUGUAACUGAUUAACAAGCACCCUCAUGUGUAUUACAUUCAAUUUAGCAUGACAUCACCUGAUAAAAGGUAAUCGUGGAAGACAGAAAAACUGUCUCCCUUUGUAUGUAGCCUUA